UACGGAGAGGGCUAGCGUUGUUCGGAAUUACUGGGCGUAAAGCGUGUGUAGGCGGUCCACUAAGUCGGGUGUGAAAGCCCUGGGCUCAACCCAGGAAGUGCACUCGAAACUGGCGGGCUAGAGUAUCGGAGAGGUUGGUGGAAUUCUCGGUGUAGAGGUGAAAUUCGUAGAUAUCGAGAGGAACACCGGUGGCGAAGGCAGGUCUCUGGGCUGACACUGACGCUCAUGCACGAAAGCGUGGGGAGCAAACAGG
rnacentral:rRNA from 1 species